AAUUUGGGCUAAAUCCUAAUACAUACGGCCCAAUAAGGCCCAAGUGUGCAAACCCUAACUCUAAGCAGCAGAUAGCCUUCGUGCCACGCAUGUUCUUCGCGUCGCAGUAACUGCCCACGUCGCGGCAACUGUCUUCACCCAUGUUCAGCCCCCGUACGCACGUCGCGCAUGCCUCCUCUAGUAUCCACCUGCAACAAAUAAGCCACGAACAGAGGAGGUAGAGGAGCAAACGAAAAACAGG
rnacentral:lncRNA from 1 species